AUUUAAAUAGCUUAAUUAGAGCAAAGUAUUGAAGAUGCUUAGGUCAUAUUUUUAUGUUUAAAUA
rnacentral:tRNA from 1 species